rnacentral:rRNA from 1 species
GACGUAGGGGGCCAGCGUUGUUCGGAAUUACUGGGCGUAAAGGGCGCGUAGGCGGUGCGGUAAGUCACCUGUGAAACCUCUAGGCUUAACCUAGAGCCUGCAGGCGAAACUGCCGUGCUUGAGGUUGGGAGAGGGAUGCGGAAUUCCAGGUGUAGCGGUGAAAUGCGUAGAUAUCUGGAGGAACACCGGUGGCGAAGGCGGCAUCCUGGACCAAUUCUGACGCUGAGGAGCGAAAGCCAGGGGAGCAAACGGG